rnacentral:rRNA from 1 species
UACAGAGGUCCCGAGCGUUGUUCGGAUUCAUUGGGCGUAAAGGGUGCGUAGGCGGCGGGGCAAGUCUGAUGUGAAAUCCCGGGGCUCAACCCCGGAACUGCAUUGGAUACUGCCUUGCUAGAGUACUGGAGAGGGAACUGGAAUUUACGGUGUAGCAGUGAAAUGCGUAGAGAUCGUAAGGAAGGCCAGUGGCGAAGGCGAGUUCCUGGACAGUUACUGACGCUGAGGCGCGAAAGCUAGGGGAGCAAACAGG